UUGAGCCGUGUGCGGUGAAAGUCGCACGCACGGUUCUUAGAGAGCCCGGGGUUGGCAACAGCCCUUGGGCUACUCGGC
rnacentral:ncRNA from 1 species